AUAAAAUCUCUCGUCUCCGUUCGCGGUCAUCAUCCGAAGCGAAGAGCGCAGAAGCCAAGCCAACUUUGCUUACAUUAACUAUAACCGGUGAAAAUGGCUCAAAUUGUGUACCAACCGUUUUCCUUCGACAAUGGAGUCAAGAAUAUGUUCCACGCAGAAGCUCCAUUAAGCCAAAAGCACCGCAGCGAAAGCCUUCCUCGCCAUCCAGAACGGCUGCCACAUCCGCUGCAGGAAGAAGACAUGGAAGCUGAAGUGUUCGAUUCAUCUCCGUCCGCGAUUAUGAAAGAUCUUCCCUCAGCGACUCCGUCUGGCAGUCGACGCAGGAGUAUCUGAGGACUCGAUUUCCCUCGGGUGUCAUUCCGAUCACUGGAUUUGUAUUUUCAUGGACACGGUGUUGCAAUCUCAUCAAUAAAAGUAACAGUGAAAA